rnacentral:rRNA from 13 species
AUAAACAUCAUUAAAAAAAAGCACUCGUUCUCAUCCGAUCACGAAAGUCAAGCAGCGCUGGGCACGGAUAGUACUUGGAUAAGUGACCGCUUGGGAAUUCCGUGUGGUGUUGGCC